GUAGGAGAGCGUUCUAAGGGCGUUGAAGCAUGAUCGUAAGGACAUGUGGAGCGCUUAGAAGUGAGAAUGCCGGUGUGAGUAGCGAAAGACGGGUGAGAAUCCCGUCCACCGAUUGACUAAGGUUUCCAGAGGAAGGCUCGUCCGCUCUGGGUUAGUCGGGUCCUAAGCUGAGGCCGACAGGCGUAGGCGAUGGAUAACAGGUUGAUAUUCCUGUACCACCUAUAAUCGUUUUAAUCGAUGGGGGGACGCAGUAGGAUAGGCGAAGCGUGCGAUUGGAUUGCACGUCUAAGCAGUAAGGCUGAGUAUUAGGCAAAUCCGGUACUCGUUAAGGCUGAGCUGUGAUGGGGAGAAGACAUUGUGUCUUCGAGUCGUUGAUUUCACACUGCCGAGAAAAGCCUCUAGAUAGAAAAUAGGUGCCCGUACCGCAAACCGACACAGGUAGUCAAGAUGAGAAUUCUAAGGUGAGCGAGCGAACUCUCGUUAAGGAACUCGGCAAAAUGACCCCGUAACUUCGGGAGAAGGGGUGCUCUUUAGGGUUAACGCCCAGAAGAGCCGCAGUGAAUAGGCCCAAGCGACUGUUUAUCAAAAACACAGGUCUCUGCUAAACCGUAAGGUGAUGUAUAGGGGCUGACGCCUGCCCGGUGCUGGAAGGUUAAGAGGAGUGGUUAGCUUCUGCGAAGCUACGAAUCGAAGCCCCAGUAAACGGCGGCCGUAACUAUAACGGUCCUAAGGUAGCGAAAUUCCUUGUCGGGUAAGUUCCGACCCGCACGAAAGGCGUAACGAUUUGGGCACUGUCUCAACGAGAGACUCGGUGAAAUCAUAGUACCUGUGAAGAUGCAGGUUACCCGCGACAGGACGGAAAGACCCCGUGGAGCUUUACUGUAGCCUGAUAUUGAAAUUCGGCACAGCUUGUACAGGAUAGGUAGGAGCCUUUGAAACGUGAGCGCUAGCUUACGUGGAGGCGCUGGUGGG
rnacentral:rRNA from 1 species